CCUACGGGUGGCAGCAGUGAGGAAUAUUGGUCAAUGGUCGGGAGACUGAACCAGCCAAGCCGCGUGAGGGAUGAGGGUACAGAGUAUCGUAAACCUCUUUUGUCAGGGAACAAAGGCGGGGACGUGUCCCCGGAUGAGUGUACCUGAAGAAAAAGCAUCGGCUAACUCCGUGCCAGCAGCCGCGGUAAUACGGAGGAUGCGAACGUUAUCCGGAUUGUUUGGGUUUAAAGGGUGCGCAGGCGGUCUGUAAAGUCAGCGGUAAAAGCCCGGGGCGCAACCCCGGCCCGCCGUUGAAACUGGCAGUCUCGAGUUGGAGAGAAGUAUGCGGAAUGCGCGGUGUAGCGGUGAAAUGCAUAGAUAUCGCGCAGAACUCCGAUUGCGAAGGCAGCAUGCCGGCUCCACACUGACGCUGAGGCACGAAAGCGUGGGUAUCGAACAGGAUUAGAUACCCGAGUAGUC
rnacentral:rRNA from 1 species